GACGAACGCUGGCGGCGUGCCUAAUACAUGCAAGUCGAGCGGAUUGAUGGGAGCUUGCUCCCUGAUAUCAGCGGCGGACGGGUGAGUAACACGUGGGCAAUCUGCCUAUAAGACUGGGAUAACUUCGGGAAACCGGAGCUAAUACCGGAUAAUCCCUUUCCUCUCAUGAGGAAAGGCUGAAAGUUGGUUUACGCUAUCACUUAUAGAUGGGCCCGCGGCGCAUUAGCUAGUUGGUGAGGCAACGGCUCACCAAGGCAACGAUGCGUAGCCGACCUGAGAGGGUGGUCUGACACACUGAGACUGAGACACGGCCCAGACACCUACGGGAGUCAGAAGUAGGGAAUCUUCCGCAAUGGACGAAAGUCUGACGGAGCAACGCCGCGUGAGUGAUGAAGGUUUUCGGAUCGUAAGACUCUGUUGUUAGGGAAGAACAAGUACGAGAGUAACUGCUCGUACCUUGACGGUACCUAACCAGAAAGCCACGGCUAACUACGUGCCAGCCGCCGCGGUAA
rnacentral:rRNA from 1 species